rnacentral:rRNA from 1 species
GACGAACGCUGGCGGCGUGCUUAACACAUGCAAGUCGAACGGAAAGGCCCUGCUUUUGUGGGGUGCUCGAGUGGCGAACGGGUGAGUAACACGUGAGUAACCUGCCCUUGACUUUGGGAUAACUUCAGGAAACUGGGGCUAAUACCGGAUAGGAGCUCCUGCUGCAUGGUGGGGGUUGGAAAGUUUCGGCGGUUGGGGAUGGACUCGCGGCUUAUCAGCUUGUUGGUGGGGUAGUGGCUUACCAAGGCUUUGACGGGUAGCCGGCCUGAGAGGGUGACCGGCCACAUUGGGACUGAGAUACGGCCCAGACUCCUACGGGAGGCAGCAGUGGGGAAUAUUGCACAAUGGGCGGAAGCCUGAUGCAGCGACGCCGCGUGCGGGAUGACGGCCUUCGGGUUGUAAACCGCUUUCGCCUGUGACGAAGCGUGAGUGACGGUAAUGGGUAAAGAAGCACCGGCUAACUACGUGCCAGCAGCCGCGGUGAUACGUAGGGUGCGAGCGUUGUCCGGAUUUAUUGGGCGUAAAGGGCUCGUAGGUGGUUGAUCGCGUCGGAAGUGUAAUCUUGGGGCUUAACCCUGAGCGUGCUUUCGAUACGGGUUGACUUGAGGAAGGUAGGGGAGAAUGGAAUUCCUGGUGGAGCGGUGGAAUGCGCAGAUAUCAGGAGGAACACCAGUGGCGAAGGCGGUUCUCUGGGCCUUUCCUGACGCUGAGGAGCGAAAGCGUGGGGAGCGAACAGGCUUAGAUACCCUGGUAGUCCACGCUGUAAACGGUGGGUACUAGGUGUGGGGUCCAUUCCACGGGUUCCGUGCCGUAGCUAACGCUUUAAGUACCCCGCCUGGGGAGUACGGCCGCAAGGCUAAAACUCAAAGGAAUUGACGGGGCCCCGCACAAGCGGCGGAGCAUGCGGAUUAAUUCGAUGCAACGCGUAGAACCUUACCUGGGUUUGACAUGGAUCGGGAGUGCUCAGAGAUGGGUGUGCCUCUUUUGGGGUCGGUUCACAGGUGGUGCAUGGCUGUCGUCAGCUCGUGUCGUGAGAUGUUGGGUUAAGUCCCGCAACGAGCGCAACCCUUGUCCACUGUUGCUAGCACGUUAUGGUGGGGACUCAGUGGAGACCGCCGGGGUCAACUCGGAGGAAGGUGGGGAUGACGUCAAGUCAUCAUGCCCCUUAUGUCCAGGGCUUCACGCAUGCUACAAUGGCUGGUACAGAGAGUGGCGAGCCUGUGAGGGUGAGCGAAUCUCGGAAAGCCGGUCUCAGUUCGGAUUGGGGUCUGCAACUCGACCUCAUGAAGUCGGAGUCGCUAGUAAUCGCAGAUCAGCAACGCUGCGGUGAAUACGUUCCCGGG